rnacentral:rRNA from 1 species
UACGUAGGGUGCAAGCGUUGUCCGGAAUUAUUGGGCGUAAAGAGCUCGUAGGCGGCUAGUCACGUCGGAUGUGAAAACCCGAGGCUCAACCUCGGGCCUGCAUUCGAUACGGGCUGGCUAGAGUACUGCAGGGGAGACUGGAAUUCCUGGUGUAGCGGUGAAAUGCGUAGAUAUCAGGAGGAACACCUGUGGUGUAGACAGCUUGCUGGACCAUUUCUGACACUGAGACACGAAAGCGUGGGUAGCAAACAGG